rnacentral:sRNA from 1 species
GCUGACGCAGCCGUGGCGGAGGCGGCUUUGGAAGCCGCGCGGAGCGAGUUACGAGAAUUCCCGGCCGCGAGGGUCUAUGUCCUGUUACAUUCUAAGUGAGAAGGUGGACAAUUAACCACAGGUGUACUGAAUGAGUACAUUGUAGAGUAGAAGAAGUAGGUUAGAAGGUAAGUGCAGGCAAAGCCCUCUGUGGGAGUGUGCCUGAUGUGUUUAGGAAACAGUGAAGAAGCCAGUCUGCAGGAGCAGCGUCUUCUGCACAUGUAGCUCUGCGUGCCUCUUGCUGUGCCCUACCUGGACAAACCCCCAACUCCGCUCCACUUCUACCGG